AUGGAAGUAAUUAUUCUGUGUGGUAGAAGCAGUAUUUCCACAGUUUCUGCUAUGUCAGAUCCAAGAAUCAGGUAGUCAGUUUUAAUAUAAGACUUACAUAAAGAUCUGCUGUGCAAAAGAGUUAGUUGCUGUGGCUUUUUGACUUCUUCAUAUGUUGUUGAAUUGAGACGUGUUCCUUAAAAUAACCUGAUCUCUGGAACAGUGCUCUAACAGAAUAGAGAAAGGAAACUUGCUGAAUGCACGUGCUGUGCCUAGGUAAGUAUUUCAUACCUCGUUUGAUCUCCCCAAACCCCAGUUACUGUCUUCAUUUAAUGCAGAGUAGGCUUGGAGAGGAGGAUUUGUCCAAUCUCAUGUUAUCUGGUAAGUGUUUGAGUUUUUAAUCCUGAAGUGAUUGACUAACAGUAAUGGCAUUCAACUGCAAUUUAUCCUUAUUUGGGCACUGGGAGGGGGCUUCUUUUCUUUAAGAGACAAAAAUAGAAUGGCAGGCAUGUAAACAAUUCUCAUGCUUAUAUAAGAUACGAUAAAAGGACAUCCCUGCUUUAUUCUAGUAUCUUGGUAUAAUUACAUAAAUUACCUUUUAGGGAUGAAAAAGUUGACCAAUUCUAUAUGUUCUCAGAAGAAAAAAGCAUUGUCAGAUGUCAAAUGACCAAGAAAACCUCUGGCCUGCUCAGGCAAGAUUGCCCAGUGGUCUCCUGACACAUCCCUGCUCAGUUCUUCCCACUGUUUGUGUACAGACAAUACUCUUUUUAAGAAUACCAAACUUUUGAAUUUGAUCAUCACCCAAAGGAAAGUGAAACAGUCUGGUGUCUGACUGCUUCAGCAGCAAUCUAGGACCAAUAAGUAAUGACAUCCAGCCUGAUGAUCGUGACUGCCAGGUGUGGAGACCAUGAGUCACAGGUAUAUAUGUGAGGUAUUUAUUUUAUGAAUUUCAAUUCCAACUUUGCGAUCUUUCCAUCUUGUAUUAACUUAUUAUAUAUUGUCAGAUAAUAUUGUUCCAUUUCACUUUCAUCCAGAUCAAGAUGACCAGCUGACAACUCGAGGUAAUUUCCAAUUUGUCUCAGCGCAUUGGGUCCCAUAUAUCUGGCUCUUGUAGGUUCUGCACAAAUGUCAUAUGUUCCUUAAUAGUACCAGUAAGAUAGUCGUAUUAAUAUUCAUAACCUUGCAGGCUGUCCUUCAGAGGGGGUAUGGAUGGGAACAUAGUUAAUGUGUGAUAUGUACAGUUUCUCAGGCCAGUGUUAGAAUUAUAUGGUAUUUACUUGCGCUAACUAUGGUGUACUCUGAUUCCCACUAGCAUCAUUAUAUACUGGUGUGCAAUUUAUUUUUCGCAUGCAUUUGUGGAAAGCUUUCAGAAUAAGCACUCGUCAUUCUUUUUAAUUAUUUUUGGUUUCAUUGUAUAACUUUGUUAAAUCUCCCAUUAAUGGAUGUUUGGAUUGCUCUCAUGUUUUUCAUUAUUGCAAACAGUAUUUUAAUGUACAUAUGUCUUUGUAUAAAAUAUGUUAUUCCUAACUUCUGUAGGAGGAAUUAAUAGAAAUGAAUUUGUUCAGACAGUAUACCUUUAAAAUGUAUAAGGUAAAGGCAAACUGAUUUGUAAGAUGCAUGUUAAUGAACAUUUUGACCAAUAACGUAGAUACUGGUUUCGCUACACCCUCGCCAAUAUUGUAGAGGGUCUCAUGAAUCCUCAUCUUUGCCAAGCUAAUAGAGAAUUACUAAAUUGUCUUAAUUAUUGGGGGGUUGAUUAUCAUAUACUGUCUUUAUUGGUAAUUUAUUUUUUUCUGUGAAUUACCAAUUCAUGUCUUUCAUCUGUUGUUCUAAUGGGCAUUGAUUGUUUUAUAUAUUGAUCAAUUAGGACUUUUCAUAUAUUAGGUAUGUUUAACCCCGUGUCUGGAUGCAGUUGGUUUUCCCAGUCUUUGGAGUUGGUAUAUGGAACCCACUGUUUACAGAAAUCAUUCUGAUUUGCUAAAGCAAGAAGAGAACUGAGAACAGGAGAUUCUUAUUUUUAAAAAUCCAGAAUCUACCAUGUCAGCUGCUCACACCCGCUGGUUGUCCAGCUGCUGUCUUACCCAUUCCAGGCUCCGGGGGAAUGGCCCUUUUGGACAGCGAGCUCUUCCUUUCGUCUAUGGGCGGCUCCUGCCUGGAGGAAGGCCUGGGCUGGUCACCUCCUCUCCUAAUGACCAUGAGGACAUCUUUGUGCAGCUGUGCCUGG